rnacentral:rRNA from 1 species
GACGAACGCUGGCGGCGUGCUUAACACAUGCAAGUCGAACGGAAAGGCCCUGCUUUUGUGGGGUGCUCGAGUGGCGAACGGGUGAGUAACACGUGAGUAACCUGCCCUUGACUUUGGGAUAACUUCAGGAAACUGGGGCUAAUGCCGGAUAGGAGCUCCUGCUGCAUGGUGGGGGUUGGAAAGUUUCGGCGGUUGGGGAUGGACUCGCGGCUUAUCAGCUUGUUGGUGGGGUAGUGGCCUACCAAGGCUUUGACGGGUAGCCGGCCUGAGAGGGUGACCGGCCACCUUUGGACCGAGGUACCGGCCCGAACUCCACCGGAGGCAGCAGUGGGGAAUAUUGCACAAUGGGCGGAAGCCUGAUGCAGCAACGCCGCGUGCGGGAUGACGGCCUUCGGGUUGUAAACCGCCUUCGCCUGUGACGAAGCGUGAGUGACGGUAAUGGGUAAAGAAGCACCGGCUAACUACGUG